UACAGAGGUCUCAAGCGUUGUUCGGAUUCAUUGGGCGUAAAGGGUGCGUAGGCGGCGCGGUAAGUCGGAUGUGAAAUCUCGGGGCUUAACUUCGAAACUGCAUUCGAUACUGCCGUGCUUGAGGACUGGAGAGGAGACUGGAAUUUACGGUGUAGCGGUGAAAUGCGUAGAUAUCGUAAGGAAGACCAGUGGCGAAGGCGGGUCUCUGGACAGUUCCUGACGCUGAGGCACGAAGGUCAGGGGAGCAAACAGG
rnacentral:rRNA from 1 species